CUGAUUUUGUUGCAAAACGUCGAGGAGAAGGGUUUAAAAAAUCAUUGUGCACAGAUUCGAGACCGUGGGUACGUGGGUUGGGGUUCUACACCAUGUGGUGGAUGAGCAUGAUUGGUCGCGAAAUCCGCCAAAUUCGAAUCCCACUAAAGGAAGUACACAUACGAGAUAAGACGACAUAUGUAACAAAUUGAUGCAUCAACUCCUGCAAGGAAAUUUGUUGGGUUUUGUGAAAUAAAAGCGUAAUAUUUCCUCAAGAUUAAUGGAUGUUUUGAGACGACUAACACAUGUAUUCAUUAUACAGAGGUAGUAAACAGUUGUUACUAUUGCAUACCAGUCUGAGUCAGCACGGACAGAGUUAAAGGUUGCACAUGUUCAGUGAAAAGUACAUCAAGGAGAAUACAUUUGGCAGAAAUUUCUUUUUUUUUUUUAAUAAUAUCAUAUAAAACAUUCAGAACAACUGGAUCCCGCAUGUACAUGUGUAUUACACUUGUAAGCUGUCUUGGUUACUGGGAGUACAAGACCAACAGUCUGGCAAAUGAUUUAUAACCAGACUGUUAACAGGUUCUGUCCCUUGGUACACCCUGGAAUCAAGUCAACAAAUCAUGCUUUCUUUGACUUUUUAAAUUGUUUUUGUAUUCAUAUAACACAAUUAUUUUCAUUUAUAUAAUUAUUCAAACAUUCAUGCUUUAGACAUAAAACAUUUAGAACAACUGGAUCCUGCUUGUACAAGUGUAUUAUACUUGCAUAUUGUAUUUACUAAACUCUUAUACUGAUAUUGAUUACAACUUCACAUGUAUUCACACAACAUUAUCAUUAUCCACUGUCUCUGAAACUGGCACUGUCCUUAGAUGUGUGAAGCAGUUUGGUUAUUCUAUUGUAUAUUUCAUUAUGUUAGUUUAAAUUCAGUCUGAAAUCAGUAUUUCAUAUAUAAUCAGAUGUGUGCAGAGUAGUAGUAGAUCUGAAUGAUUGUUAUUUAUUUAUAUUGUUAUAAUUAAUUACUAGUUAAACUGUACGUGCCCUUGAUUGGUGAAUAAACUCAUUAUUAUUAUUAUAAAGU